GGCCCAUAGGAAGUGACACUAUUAGGAGGUGUGACCUUGUUGGAGUAAGUGUAGCCACUUGUAGGGGUGGGCUUUGAGAUUUCAGACGCUCAAGCCAGGCCCAGUGUCACUCUCUCUCUCUUCCUGCUGCCUGCAGAUCUGGAUGUAGAACUCUCAGCUUCUUCUCCAACACCAUGUCUAUCUGUGGUGCCACCAAAUUUCCCAUCAUGAGGACAAAGGACUAAACCUCUGAACUGCAGUGCCCGACAGCCUCAGACUUGGGGUUCUCUUGCCUAGGAUUCCUGAGUACUGGAACCCCAGUCCUACGCCACUUUGCCUGACUUAUUAGGGUUGAGUGUUUCUUAGAGAAGAAGCAAAACGCAGUACACUAUGGGGAAGAUACUGUUGUAAGACCAGCACAGCCGGCAGAGAGAGGAAAGGCUGCGGCCCUCCACCGCCAG